rnacentral:rRNA from 1 species
AUUGAACGAUGGCGGCAGGCCUAACACAUGCAAGUCGAGCGGAGCGGCGGACGGGUGAGUAAUGCCUAGGAAUCUGCCUGGUAGUGGGGGAUAACGUCCGGAAACGGGCGCUAAUACCGCAUACUAUCAGAUGAGCCUAGGUCGGAUUAGCUAGUUGGGGGGGUAACAGCCUACCAAGGCGACGAUCCGUAACUGGUCUGAGAGGAUGAUCAGUCACACUGGAACGUGGACACGGUCCAGGCUCCUACGGGAGGCAGCGGUGGGAAAUAUUGGAAAAUGGGCGAAAUCCUAAUCCAGUCGUGCAGGGUGAGUGAAGAAGGUCUUCGGAGUGUAAAGCACUUUAAGUUGGGAGGCGUUACCAACAUAAUAAGCACCGGCUAACUUCGUGCCAGCAGCCACUGUAAUAC